UACGUAGGGGGCAAGCGUUAUCCGGAAUCACUGGGCGUAAAGGGUGCGUAGGCGGUUCUUUAAGUCAGGGGUGAAAGGCUACGGCUCAACCGUAGUAAGCCUUUGAAACUGAAGAACUUGAGUGCAGGAGAGGAGAGUGGAAUUCCUAGUGUAGCGGUGAAAUGCGUAGAUAUUAGGAGGAACACCAGUGGCGAAGGCGACUCUCUGGACUGCAACUGACGCUGAUGCACGAAAGCGUGGGGAGC
rnacentral:rRNA from 1 species